GGCUUGGGCUAGGAUGCGGGCCUGUCGUACCAUCUCACCUGAGAGGACAGGACACAGUCAGGUCUUACUGGCUUUUUCCUGUCUGGGAUUUUCAGAGCUCUGCCCUGAUUCAUCAUGUGACCUCCCCUCUGACAGCUUUAGCCUCCUUCUCUACAAAAUGAGGACGUUAUAUUAGGUAAUUCCCAAGAGAUCCUGAAGCCUGCAAACACCGACUCCAGCUAGCUGGGCAGGGAGACGAAACACCGGCAGCUUGCACCGUCUAACUGGAGAGGGAGGGGCCUUCCCAGGGAGCCUGGCCCUGCCUCUGGGUUUCCUGGCAGUCAAACUAGAAUGAUGAUUCUCUAAUCCAAAUGGAUCUCAGAAAUUACCUAGUCAAAUUCUCAGUUUUGCAGAAUGGACAUCAGACAUGGUGGGGCAGGUUGGGUAGUUUCAAGGCAGAUCAGAGGAGGAGCUCAGUCUCUAACUUGGUCCUUGCUCCAAGUCACCAAGUGAAUACUCAGUCCUCACGACAACUGGUCUCAGGCUUUCCAGUCUUCGGUAAGCCCUUCUCAAGCUCUGCCCCCUAUCUUACUGCCUCCCUUGAUGGUGUUUUCAGGGCACCUCAAGAUAUCAGUCCCACCCUGACCUCCCCCACCCUCCUUGGCACCUCUCAGCAGGCUGGAGGAACCCUUGCAGGUGGCAGGUGGCACCCAGGGGGACAAGAAGACAAGUCUGCCUGCCAGCUGAUGAUGUGACCCAGUUUGGUACAGGGAUUGGUUCCUCUCAACUGAGAAUGAGCAAAUUCGCGCUGCUCAUUCCCCUCCUGGCAAGCAGCAAACCCCAAGUGGGGAAACAGACAACUGGGGUUAGGUUAGAAACAGGUAGGAGUGCUGGGAUACAGAAGCCAGAACCAGGGAAGUUGGGAAGGGAUAGGUUUUUGGACGGUGAAGAGAUUAGGAAGGAUGAGGUGGAGACUGAAAAAUCUAGAAACAGGAGACAGGUAUAUGUGGGAAAGGUGUGGAGCAGGGAUCUGAGAGACCAUUCUGACCUUAUAAACAGUCCAGAGUCUCACAAGAAACCACAGCUUGCUAUCUUUAUUUCCAAACAAGCGAGGACCCUUCCAGUCUCCCCAGCUCUCUGCCCACCUCCCCCAUUCCUCAGCUACCUCUCCCAGUAGCUUGACAGACCUGGCUGUGGGGCUGCUGGAGGGCUGGAGGGUCAGCGAAGUGGAGGAGUCGGAGGAGCUGAGGGCAGGACUGAAAGGACCCUCCACCCUAAGCUGAAAUGGCACGUCUCCCCCACUUCCUCCGGACAUAUGGACACCCCCUUCUUCAUCAAGCACGGAAACCUCUGGUGAGACCCCGAUAAGGGAGAUGAGUCAUGCCUACCCUUACUCCCAGGCUGGUCCUGAGUGGACACCCACAUAGCUACAAGAUGGUGAAGGAGGAAAAGGAAUUGAGAAGUGAGAGGGUGAUGAGGGCACAGAACAAGCCCCCUGGAAGUAUGGAGAGAAGCCAUCCAGUUCCUCCUCUGGCCUGAGAACUUUGCUCCCUUUUCCACCAUGUUUUAUGAAACAGCAACAAUGCCCCCCCCCCCAUCCCUCUCCCAGGGAACUCCUCCUCCCUCAAGACAUUCCUGAGAUGCAUUCCAGAGGAGUUGGGCAAUUGGGGGGGGGUGGAGGACAAGAGGUCAAAUCCUAGCAAGGAAUGGAAUGUAAGUAUACUGGGGGGGGUAAAGAAUUUGGGGCACAUGGAAAUAUAGUCAGAACAGAUACCCACAAAGGGAGCUGCAGAAAGACAGGGAGCUACAGAAAGGGACAAGGGAGAAAGAAACCUGAAGACAAAGUCAGAAUGUGUGAGGGUUGGGGGAGUAACCCUCAGUCUGUUACCAAAUUUGGCCUCUGAGUCCGCAACCGCGGGGCGGGGGGAGGGGGGGGUAAAGGGGGGUGGUGGUUGUGGGUGAGACUGACAUAUCCGGCCUCAGGCUGCUGGAGGCUCAUUUCGGGCUGGACUGGGCAGCUGACGGGCUGGACCUGAUCUCCCUCGACAUAGCCCCUCACCACCUACACCUAUCUAUACAUAUGCACUCUCUCCAACUGCACCCCUGUCUAUGCACAGAGCUCUUUACCACAAAGUUACUACGAAUACUGUCUCCACAUACACGUUAUCUCAAACAUGCAGUCCCUUACACAGACCCUAUCACAACCACAUUAUCUUCCCAUAAAGACCCUGUCCCACGCACACAGCUUCCCCACAAACACACCUCUGUCCGUAGGAGAACAACUUGCCCCAACAUCUCUCUUCCCAUUACACAUUCUCCCUCCAUUCAUCCAACAAGCAUUUCUGAGGGUCUGUUGUGAAAAAGGCCCUGGGCCAAACUCUCAGUGACUGGGAAGCAAGAAGAGCAAGCCCUUGCCUUCGCUUUCAAGGGGCUCCUGGUUAGUUGAGUGAGUAAGCCAAAUACAGAAUUAUAAUACAGGGCAGGAUGUGGUCAGAGUCAAGAUGUGUGUGUUCAGGGGAGAGAUCCCUUUAGGUUACAGAAAAGGGACCGAAAAGUCUCUGUUUUAAGUGUCAUUUGAAGUUAGGACUUUAAAAUAAAGAUAAUAAAAAUCGUAAGGAUUACCUUUUAUUGAUGAUAUGUCAAUCUCUUUGUAUACAUAAUUUCAUUUCAUCUUUACAAUAACCCGGCAAGAUAAGUAUCAUUAUACCCACUUUUACAGAUUAGGAAACUGAGGCGCAAAGAUAUUAAAUACUUGUUCAAGGAACUGCUCCAAAGUCAUACAGCUAAUAAGUUGUGAAGCCAGGAUCCGAACCCAUAUCUCUGACUCCAAAGCCCAAGCUGUCUCCACUAUGCCAGCCAGAGGUGAGUCAGGGGUAGCAUUCCAGGCAGAAAGAAGAGCAUAAGCAAAGGUGGAGGAACAGGAAAUCACGGAGGAGCAUUCAGGGAAGUGAGCGGGUGGGCUGGCGGAAGCACAGAGUACCUGCAAGGGAGCAGCGACGGGGAAGUCAGGUCAGGGUGAAAAGGCAGGGGAGGACUAGAGAGGAAGGAGUAUUUUACAUACUGGAGGGCACCAUGAGGCCAAGGGAGGCUUUGAGCAGAAAAGGGACAUAACCAGAACUAGAUUCUGGAAAAUAAUUCUGGCAGUUACCUUGGAGAUAGGUCAGAAAGACACUGCAUUAGCACAAAUGAGAAGUGAUGACAGUAGUUAGAAUGGUGGAGAGGAGGACGUUGUUCAUUUGUAGUUUGAAGAGGUAGAACUGUCAGGACCUGAUGACAGUUUGUCUUGUCAAUCUUCAGGGACCAGGGCCUAAAGUCAGACUGAAGUCCCACAGCUUCUGUCAUCAGUAGCCAUUCAGUGGCUAGGGUAGCUUGAGUUUACUAAGGAAUUGGGAAGGGGAGAACGCCAGGAUUGGGCCGAGCUGGGUAUAUGAAGAUGAGGCUCUGGGGCACAGGAGAUGGGGAUGGGGUUAGCACCAGUAGCGGCAGAAGGGAUGAGGUUAGUGACUGUAUCGAACUAGAAAUGGGGAAGAAGGCUGGGGAAGACGGUGGUAGGAAAAAUACAUCUAUGAUCAGUCACCGAAUCAGGCUAGGCGAAGGGAAAAAAUAAUUACAAGACAGGGAAUGACAGAGUGAGGUCAGAGGUCAGAUUAGGCUGCGGGAGAUUGAGAAGAGAUGGGGCUGUAGUCAAUGGCUAAAUAAGGCUAGGAUGGUGUUGGGGGGAGAGCGAGGGGAUGGUGGCAGUAUAUAAGCUGAGUUGGUGGGGGUGGGGUGGGUCUGGGGCACAACCAGCAGCUGGGUCACACUGAGUAGGGGAUAGUGCUGUGGUCAAUGGCAGGGUCAGGCUGGGAGUGAAAUGGGGGUGUGGUCAGUGGCCUGGCUGGGCGUGGGAUCAGCAAGACCCAGUUUCCUCUUUGGGUCUCAUUUCCUCUUUUCUGUUUGGGGAGUGGGGGAAGGGGAUCUACAACUGGACCAAGAAAUUAAGAAGGCUUAGAGCCAGGGGCUGGCACACAGCAGGGCCUGCAGGUACUUGACAGUUAUGUUAGGCUUUGGGUAGGGUAUUCAGCAGAUGACCAGGAGGUGCGGGUAAGUGGGGAAAGUGUGGAAGAGUGCUUUAAGAUGAUGUGAAUGCUCAGAUUUGGGAGGGCAAAAUAUGGUAGGAGGUGCAGUAUCAGGGACAGAAAGGGAGGCAGAACUGCAGCUGGGAACCACUGGCAAGAUGAACAAGUAUGGAAGAAGUUACAGGUGAGGGGAGAAAUCUGUAUGCAGGAUUGUGCUUGACGGAAGGGGUAUGCAGGGAGGAUGUGAACUGCAGGGCCAGGGAGGAGAGCUGGAGAGAGGACUUAAUCCAGAGAAUGAGGGAACUGGGAGGCAGUAGGGCUGAACUUUCAGAGGAUUCAGUCAUUUCUUUCUCCCAUGGCAACAAUGUUUUCAUGGUCAGCCUCCCCUUAAUCACAGUCCCUUCUCCCUAAAUAGUCCCCCACUUGUGACUAGGCCUUGUACAUCUCCUGGGUCCCAGGCCUAUUCCUACCUCCUAUCUUGUAAGUAACAUAGUCCAGAAACCACUGUCCCUAAACUGUGGUGACCACAGCAAGAGCACUGGAUUUAGACAGCAAAAUAAAGAAGCUGGAAUCCCAGAUACCUGCAAUUCUAGUGAAGCCCAGAACCCUAAUGUGAAAUUAGUUUACCAUAUCUCUGGGCUAGAGAACCACUGAAACUAUGUAGCAAUGAGACCUCCCCACAAAAGGAGUGCACCUACCUGCUACCAAUCUCUUAAAUUUUAUCUAUCAGAGGCCAACUACCCAGACUUCAACCAUAACCCCCUCCUAAAACUAACCCUAAUUCUUUUUUU